UUGUUAUGAAAAUACAUAUACUAAAAAUUGCAACAAUACAGAGAAGAUAAGCAUGGCCCCUGCGCAAGGAUGACACACAAAUUCAUGAAUUGUUCCUCUUUUUU